rnacentral:rRNA from 1 species
CCCUUAGAUGUUCUGGGCCGCACACGCGCUACACUGAAGGAGGCAGCGUGUACUCCUGGAUCGAAAGAUUUGGGUAACCCGCGAAUCUCCUUCGUGCUAGGGAUUGAGGUUUGCAAUUAUCCUUCAUGAACGAGGAAUUCCCAGUAAGUGCAAGUCAUAAGCUUGCGCUGACUACGUCCCUGCCCUUUGUACACACCGCCCGUCGCUACUACCGAUUGAAUGACCCGGUGAAAUCUUCGGAUCGUCGUAUUGCCCGAUUCAUUUCGGGCGAUGUGACGCAAAGUUGAUUAAACCUUGCCAUUUAGAGGAAGGUGAAGUCGUAACA